UUCCAAUCCCUAAUUGAAGAAGCGAGCAGCGCCUACUCUCCCCACUCUCACGCCUCCUCCGGUGAUAACGACACCACUCCUUGUCGUCGGAGCUCGCCGGCUAUCCCUCUGUCCCUUCCUUCUCUCCAUCUUUCCCUCUUCUCUCUUCCUCACGCCGCCGUCAUCCCCUCUUUCUCUCCAGAUUCGCCGCCGCCGCUACUGUGCAUGCACAGGCGGCGGCUUCGCCUUCCUCUUCCCGGAAUCCGGCUGUAUUAGCAGCGGUCUCUCUCUCUCUUCCCCCCGAUUCGCCGUACCGCCGCCGCUGCGGAUCCACCACCGUCGCGGAUCCGCCUCCUCCGCCUCCUCCGCCUUCCUCGAGAACCUCCCCCAGCCGCCAACGCCGAUUUCCGACAGAUCCGUCAAGGCUGCGAUUUUAGUGAUGGAUUUGGAGGGUGGGGGUGUCACCGUCGACUCCGGGCUGCCGAAGAGCACAGAAUCGUACUCACGAGAUAAGUUUUCCAACUAAGUGGUUAUUAUUAGUUGUAGGACUCAAUUGUCUAUUUUAUAAAUUUGGUGAAUUUUGAACAAUCGUGUCUACUGGGAAGACUUAAUGGUGAAACAAGUUAAUCUUGGUGUUUAUUGUUAACAUUUGGGCAGAUUCUACUUCCAACUACAUAUAUGCAUGCUUGUACAUAUAUGAAUGAAAAGGAAGGUUUGUGGUUUACCUUUUGAUGUGGAAUAAAGUUUUGUUGGAUUGUAGUGCUUGACUCUACAAUUAUCUACAACUCUCCCUCCUAUGUUCUAUGUGGAAUUCUUUUGAUUGUGAGGUGGGUGAGACAAAAAGAUUUGUAUAUACGUAUAUAUACAUAAAAGAUGCAAGUGACGUAUCUUGCAAGAAUGAGAUGCAAGUGGCGUGUAUCUUUCAAUUAUUCGGUCAGAGGAUAAUCUCAAUAUGUGUAAGAGGAUGAAGGUUGAGGAUUUCUUUCCACGUAUCAUUAAUGCAACAUUCUUUCUUGCUAAGAUUCAUUAAUGCAACAUUAAAUGCUGCAAUGAAAAUUGUUCCUUCUCGAUAUGCUCGUAAAUAUAUAUAUAUAUAUAUAUAUAUAUAUUAUUUUAUCAAUUAAUUAUUUAAGUAUUUGCUUACUUAAUCAUUUAAUUUGGUGUAGGUAUAAUUGGUUUAAGUUCGUGGCCGUCCGCGUUGAAGUACCCGCUUCCUUAAAACAUAUGAUGUAUAAAUUAAAUGUGGUUGGACUUUUGUUGGAUGUAUCGGACAUUAAAAUUUGAAUUUUGGGAUCUUAUUUAUUAUUUAUUUAAA